rnacentral:tmRNA from 1 species
GGGGACGUUACGGAUUCGACAAGCACAGUUCGAGCUUGAAUUGCGUUUCGUAGGUUACGUCUACGUUAAAACGUUACAGUUAAAUAUAACUGCUAAAAACGAAAACAACUCUUACGCUUUAGCUGCCUAAAAACAGUUAGCGUAGAUCCUCUCGGCAUCGCCCAUGUGCUCGAGUAAGGGUCUCAAAUUUAGUGGGAUACGUUAAACUUUUCCGUCUGUAAAGUUUAAAAGAGAUCAUCAGACUAGCAAUACAGAAUGCCUGUCACUCGGCAAGCUGUAAAGCGAAACCUCAAAUGAGUUGACUAUGAACGUAGAUUUUUAAGUGUCGAUGUGUUUGGACGCGGGUUCGACUCCCGCCGUCUCCA